rnacentral:pre_miRNA from 1 species
UGCUCUGGAUUAGGCUUUGGCUUAAGGAAAUAUUGUGGCUGGUUUGAUCUUAUAUCCAGAUCAUUCAUAAUUUCUCCACGUCAG